rnacentral:rRNA from 1 species
GACGAACGCUGGCGGCGUGCUUAACACAUGCAAGUCGAACGGAAAGGCCCCUUUGGGGGUACUCGAGUGGCGAACGGGUGCGUAACACGUGAGUAACCUGCCCUUGACUUCGGGAUAACUUCAGGAAACUGGGGCUAAUACCGGAUAGGAAUCCUUGCUGCAUGGUGGGGGUUGGAAAGCUUCGGCGGUUUUGGAUGGACUCGCGGCUUAUCAGCUUGUUGGUGGGGUAGUGGCUUACCAAGGCUUUGACGGGUAGCCGGCCUGAGAGGGCGACCGGCCACAUUGGGACUGAGAUACGGCCCAGACUCCUACGGGAAGCAGCAGUGGGGAAUAUUGCACAAUGGGCGGAAGCCUGAUGCAGCAACGCCGCGUGCGGGAUGACGGCCUUCGGGUUGUAAACCGCUUUCAGCAGGGGCGAAGCUUGUGGUGACGGUACCUGCAGAAGAAGCACCGGCUAACUACGUG